UGUAUAUAAGUACAUUAAUAAAAGGAGUAUAAACGUGAUCGUACAUGAUUGUAUGUAUAUGUACAUAAAUCUCUCUGAAUACUAUUGAUGUAAUCAGUCUGUAAUACCUAAGUUGAUGGAUAAACUGGUAACUUAUCACUUGGCCUGCAAGAAUGUAAUAAUUCCACAACAUCAUGGUGUCUGUUCAGGUCGAUCUACCAUGACAAAUCCUAUAACGAGUGAACAACAUUUGUUACGUGCUUUGGAGAAAGGUAAUUGGCUUCACAAAUUUUAAGAUGGAGCUGUGUAGUGCUUACAUUCUGAUGUUGGAUGAACAGAUCGUUUCAUAGCGCAGAUAGUUGUAACUGGAUAGAUGUCAAAAGUCAAAAAGACCAUCAACGGAAUGAUUCAUGCACAAUCUCCAAUCACAGAAGAAUUACCACACAAGAACUGAUGAUUGUGGUCCUGUGAGGCGGAAUGAAACAUCAACAUGGAGAUACACUUCUGGAUGGUGUUGGUGGUAGAUCAUAGACAUGAAUGAAACCCUGGGAAUGAAUUUAUUUUACACUGAUGUAAAUAUGUUAUCUUGAUCUAAGUGCGACAUUUUUUCUCAUGUGAAUGAUUGAAAUAAAAGUACAUGAAUUUGU